UACGUAGGGGGCAAGCGUUGUCCGGAUUUAUUGGGCGUAAAGAGCGUGUAGGCGGCCAGGUAGGUCUGCUGUGAAAACUCGAGGCUCAACCUCGAGACGUCGGCGGAAACCAUCUGGCUAGAGUCCGGAAGAGGAUAGUGGAAUUCCCGGUGUAGUGGUGAAAUGCGUAGAUAUCGGGAGGAGCACCAGUGGCGAAGGCGACUAUCUGGGCUGCAACUGACGCUGAGGCGCGAAGGCUAGGGUAGCAAACAGG
rnacentral:rRNA from 1 species